GCGCAGGGCUACAUUUCCCCCGUUUGCCUUUUUUUUUUUUUUUUUGGUGUGGGUUUUUUUGGUUGUUUUUUUUUUGUUUUGUUUCUUUUUUUUUUUUUUUCCUCUCUCUCAGCAGCCCUCCCUGCUGCCGCGCCAGGGAGAGCAUCCGCCCCGAUGCCCAGAGGUGCCGGGUGCCGCCGGCCGCUCGGCCGGGGGACAGCGGCGACGGCUCCCCUGGUUCCUCACAGGGAAGAAGCCCCCAGCCCCUGGACAGAACAGAAAAACGUUGGCAAAAUUUCAGCUCAUUCAAAAUCAGCAGCAAAGCUCUGUCUUCAGUGGGAUAAGGGGUGACUGACAGAAUCUCAAAAGGAUGGGAUUGAAAAGGAAGCUGGGAAGGCAGAAGCAGAUUGUACUUCCUAUGUUGAGAAACACGGAUAGACUCAACCUAUACACAACUGACAGGCAGAGGGCCCAGAAUAUGUUCUGGCAAAGGAAAAGGGAGAGAAAAAGACUCAAAUUCUUAGAGUGUGUGGAUACAUUUGGUUAGAAGCUGAAUGUGAGAAGUCUUGAGAAACAGACAUGGCACUACUUCAUGGAAAAACAAGAGGCAAUUUUAGGAGCAUCUUGGGAUAACCCAAACUUGUGACACACAUACACAUCUGCAACCAUAAACCAUUGAAGAGAAAACACAUACUGGAUUGCUUUAUUUGCAGAAUCCUUUUCCUCAAGUCACUCAUUCCUGUUUCUGCUGACAGCACAGCCAAGACUGAGUGUUUUAUAAUCAGUUCCUCAGUGCAAGUGUGUGGCAGAACUUCAAGUGGAGCCCAAGUUAACACAUGUACUUAAUUGUUAAGGUUUAACAGGUUUUACUGCAUACUUAAAUUUUCAUUGAAUGAAACUGACACCAAACUCAGUUGAAGGAUCUUGGGGAUAUGCUGGAUAUAGUUUGUGUUGCUUCCCAGUGGAUGCUCGGCAUCAGAAGAAUGGAAUUGCCCUUGUUCCUGCUGCUGCAGGCUCAUGAUCUGGAACCCAGGACUUGAGCAGGACUGAGGCAUGCAUGGUAAGAUUGUGUUACCUGUGCACAGGUCGAUGGUGAAACCUGGGACAUGUUGCUUGUGACUUUGGGCUGUCUGGUCUGAAGCAAGGGACAGGAAAGUUUCUUUAUUGAUGGAAAAUAAAUGCAGAGCAAGGAGAGAAGGUGAAAAAUCCUUAGGAAAACUAAAAACAGAAGAGAAGUAGUACUGAGAGUGAGCAAAAUCUUUUGCUUGUGUAUGUGAGCAUUACUCAUAUAACUUCAAGAGGGUACAUGCUUUAACUGAGCAUGUACCAUCUGAGGACUUGGCCCAUAAUGUCCUUUAUAAAGCUCUGGUUCCUCCUCAGAUAGUUUUUCCUUCCCUCUUCAAAGGGCACCUGUUGUUGGUGGAGUUGGUGAUGAUACUGGAUUAGAGCACAUGCGGUCAGCCUGCUUGGCCUCGGCCCUUUGGACCUAAAAUGAACUCCAGCUGCUGUUGCCCAGAGCAGGUGCUUCAUCCAGCCCGAGCAGCUGUUUGAAUGCAUGCUGUCACGGCCAAGGGGUGGGGGGAGGUUCCCUGGAGGACCCAGAGGAACAACUGAUCAGCAACAAGGAAGGAAUGGAAAUGUGCCAUGGAGACCUGGUUUUUAUACCCAGCAGACAAACGUUGUUCUAGCAUUUCCUUGUAGAAAUAGAGAACAGUGGCUGUCACUCUGCAUCUACUGAGCCUGCCCAGUACCAUGAUGGAUUAUGGUUCCUAAAAAGAGGCUGAGGGACCGCUAAAGACCAGCAGGGCUGGUUGUAGUCACUGGUUUAAAGCUUCAGUGAGUGGCCCAGCAAAACUGAGAUUGGGUAUAGAGCAGUGCACAGGCUAAUGGCCUGCUGCCUGUGGUAUCUUGGGCUUCACACUCACACUGCUAGAGGGAGGAAAACAAAAGCAGAGAUAAUCUGGGUGCGAAGCAGCUACAGGGAACAGUGCCAAGGAAUGGAGGCAGAGAGGAUGACCUGGGGCUAUAUGGAGAUGUGAUGGUUGGGAGUUUGAGGUCAGAGUUUGAGGAGGGGGCACAGAUAGUUUGUGUCAGAGAUAAAGCAGCAGCAACCCAUGAUUAGAGUGAUGGGAACAGGACAAGGAUGCAGGUUUUGUGGAGUAAUGCAAUCACGACCUUCAAAGGGAUGAGGGCAGCUUGGUGUAAGGGCAACCCAGGCCUACAGCAAGAGGUAGUGGGGAGUACCUUGCAGCUCAGGGAAUCUUACAGGAUAAGCUGUUCAAAGUAAUUUCCAUCACUGGUGUCACAAACAGCCCUUUCCAAGUCCCUUCCAGCAUUCCUUCAAUUUAUUCCCCUUCAACUCUUGUCACUGACCCGGCAGUGGUUCCCAUGCAGUCCUGCACUCUCUGAUUAUUUCCAUGCUGUUAGCAACAGUGCUCCUGGCCUCCCUUUCCAGGAGCAUGCACUCCCUGGUUGUGUCUGCAUAUGUCACAUUAUGUCGGCAUUAACACCAAGUUCAUUAUGACUCCUUAGGGUCCCAUCCUCUUACCUGUAUUCAUUAAAGUUAGCAGAGUCCUUCCACUUUCUCUGAUAGGCUCACUUUGUGUCCCUGUCCUGUGCAUGGCUUUUAUCAUAUCCCAUCAGCCAGACUUCUUGUUCUGUGUAUCUUUGCUGAUUGCUCAACCAGGUUUGCACUGAACCUGCAUAAGGAUGGUAAUGCUAAGCAAGGAUACUUCCUCAUACAGCUGUAAAAGGAUUAUUCAGGCCAGAUUUCAUUACAGCAUAGCCUAAGAGUAGGAGAAACCAUGAAUAUUGGAGGCCUCUCUUUGUCAGGAAAUGGGAUUUCCGCAGGUGCUCAGUUGUAAAAGCCUUGUAUGCUUCUAAGGCUUCGUACAUGGCAUUGCUGAAUCCUGAUUCAGGAUGCAAGAAUGUCUCAUGACCCCUGCCAUGAAAACUGGUGUCUGGCCAUGUUUGGAAAUCAGCCGUCAAUGAUGACAGUAGAUGAGUAUGGGUGAAAUGAGUAGCUUGGCUUCAACACUAAGCAAGACUUGUUAAACAUUGUAAGUACAGAUGUUCAAUUCAUAUUUUGAAUAAUGAAUAUUAUGAACUUUUCUGUAGCAAGUGGUAAGAAGCUGGAUCAUCUUUCUUCAUCUGCUCACUGCCUUCACAGAAUUUGCAAGUGUGACGAAGUAUUUCAUCCCUUUACAGGAUUAGGGAUGCGGAUUUUACUCUCACCAAAGUGCUGCUGGCUGUCUGCUGGAGGGUGUCUCUAAGACCUGAUUUAACCUGAAGCAUGCACUUCCUCAGGAGGUCUGCAGCAGGGCUGGAGGACUGCAAACACUGCAUCCCUUCCCUCCUGUCACCCGCUUCCGCACGACUGCAGUGCUUGUACUGUGCUCUCAGCUCCCUCACUCUGAAAUGUUCCUCAUGAUGGUUUGUACGGAGGUGCCUUGGAGCAGGCUUUAGUUUUGGUGGCAAUCCCCCUUGUUGCCAUGUCAUUCAAGAAGAUGGCUUUAUCCUUGCCUUUAUUCCACUGGGACCAGCUGCUCUACCCACAGGCACCAAAAGUGGCAAAUCUUCCAUAACCUUUUUUAAUUUUCAACUGAAGCUCUACAUCACAUGAACUUCUCAACAAAGCCAAAACUGACAGAAAAAAAAUAA